GACGAACGCUGGCGGCGUGCUUAACACAUGCAAGUCGAGCGGGGAACUUCGGUUCCUAGCGGCGGACGGGUGAGUAACACGUGGGUAACCUACCUCAUAGUGGGGAAUAGCCUUCCGAAAGGAAGAUUAAUACCGCAUAAUACUCAGAGAUCACAUGAUUUCUGAGCAAAAGGAUUUAUUCGCUAUGAGAUGGACCCGCGGCGCAUUAGCUUGUUGAUGAGGUAACGGCUCACCAAGGCUUCGAUGCGUAGCCGACCUGAGAGGGUGAUCGGCCACAUUGGAACUGAGACACGGUCCAGACUCCUACGGGAGGCAGCAGUGGGGAAUAUUGCACAAUGGGGGAAACCCUGAUGCAGCAACGCCGCGUGAGUGAUGAAGGUUUUCGGAUCGUAAAACUCUGUCUAUGGGACGAUAAUGACGGUAUCAUAGGAGGAAGCCACGGCUAACUACGUGCCAGCCGCCGCUGUAAUAC
rnacentral:rRNA from 1 species